GUCCAGCCCUUGCUCAGAGGCCCUCCCCAGCAACAGGUGCUCUCCUCCUGGAGACGCCAACACAGCUUCGCCUACCACAGAGCGUCGCCAGGCAGGUCCGCAGCUGUCCUCUUCUUGCUCCCAGACGCUGCCUGGCGCACACCGCGGUCCCAGCCUGCACACUGGGAAAGCCGUUUGUUUCCAGCUGCUUUAUCAGUCUCCUUUAAAAGGGCUCCAGUCUGCCGUCAGGAGGUCCAUUUCACUUACAGUAACAAGACUAAAGGUACAGCAAGACUUUUAUUGCAAAAAACCAGUUGAGGUUUACAUGGCCUUAGGCCUUAAGGCCAGAUGGUGGCCUGGAGUGGGGAAGGACAGGAACAUUGUAUUCUGAACACAACACAAACACACGAGGAAACUACAACAGUGGGGAAUUCUGCCCGAUUCCAUUCAGCGCCUCUGUUCUGGCACGGACCAUGGACCUUUCUGCUGGGUCCUCGUCUUGGACAGGGCAUUUGAAAUCAGGACUUGAGGAUUUUCAGGUGGUAAUUUUGACUACAUGCAACUUUCACCUCUGACAUUGACUUCUAAGCACAAGCCCACCUAAGUCGUGGGAUUUCGAGCACAUUCAAGUCCCACUGGGUGCUCAGUAUUCAGGCUGGAGCAAGCUGAUGGUGCAGUAGCAGCAUGCAGACAAUCACCACAGAGUGGCUGUCCUGUGCCACAGGUUUGGAUUUGAUUUUGAGCCAACCUCCCAGCAGACUGCUGGAUCCACCCAGGGUAUGGGCUGCAAUGUCUUUUCUCUGGACUCUCCUGGUGACCAGUUGGUGAUUGUCAUGUUGGAAAUAUCACCUCAGGAUAAUGAGAGCAGACUUUUCCUUCCUGUGGUCUUUUUUGAGAUCUGUCCGGGUGAGAUGUCCUUGUCAAUAUUUAGGUGAGCCAAUCUUGCAACCAACCCUUACCAUCUUGGUGAGCCGCGGGGUGGUUAAGAAACAUGGGGCACAGCAGGUAGAAAACCCAGUGCCUCACUUUGCUUUAUAAAGCUGACACAGUGCGUUCUAUUUAAUUUCAUUAGGUACAGAUUUUCCAUCACGCAGGCUAAGAGGCACAGUCACAUGGAAAUGACCUUGGGCCCUAUCUUGAGGGGUCAGAGCUGGCAGUUUGAGAUACAAGUAUAGGAAGACUCCUCAGCACUGCAGCCAUCACCUGGCAAGCAGCAGUUGGUGACAAUUAGUCAAGUGUUUUAGAUGAGGAAUUUCAGUCUUUAACAGAGGGGUUUUGAAAAGCAGACCCUUAUUUGGUCCAUUUCUGAAAUGGGCACCUUAGUAAAUGGGCAGGCGUUUGGAUCACAUAGACACAGCCACAGGCAGUAAGAGGGACAAGUCCAUUUCUACUCAGAUCUUAAGAGGGGACCUAAAGCUGUUGGAUACAC
rnacentral:lncRNA from 1 species